ensembl:lncRNA
CUGUGAUGCUGAUCUGAGUUGUCUCAUUCUGUGUUUUUGUGCUUUGUCUUUUGUUACACAGAGUGAACGAGAUCUUUGGUUUUGCCUUUGCUGACUGCUGAUCUGAUCGUCUCAAGUCUGGUGACCUGCUGCAGAAAACCCUCUCCCUCUAUCGUUGACAAGCAAUUAACAAGCAAUUUCAGUCUGUCCUAUCACUCUCCCUCUCCCUGCUCCAUCUUUUUUGACAAGCCAUUCUAUCUUCUAUCAUUUCUCCGCCAUGAGCUCUAUCUAAUUUUAACAAGCUUGAACCUGUGUUGACAAGAAAUCUAAGUUUGACAAGAAAUCUAAGUUUGACAAGAAACCAAGUUUUUGGAAAUUGAAGUUACCACAACUUCGUCGAUCUGUUUUCAGAAAUCUGAGAGAUCUCUGCUCUCACUGCUCCUUCUUUCCUGUCGUUAAACUCUCUCAUAUCUACUAAUUUUGCUGGAAAUUGCAAGUAGAAAGUUGAAUAUACAGUAGUAGAAGUACAGUACAGUAGAUUUUACAGUACAAACUACUUACACAGCCCCACAUUUAUAGUUUUGACUUGGCAUUACACUGAUAGUUUGCCUUGCAGGUGCAAUUACUUUGAUAAAUUAUAUAAAAACAUUUUUAAAGGCUUAUCUGUAAUGAGAUAAUUGGUUAUUUUGUAAUACAUACAUUCGGACUGCUGUAUUCACAUAAAUAUUAAAUCAGAUCCGAAUACAUUUUUCAAGUCUGUUUCAUUGGUUAUAACAUUUGACUACAAGUUUAUACUAUUAUUAUUUAAGGACAAACCCUUUUUUGUCACUCAGUGUAAGUAUUCAGUUACAAUUGUCAUCUAGAGGCUGCCCUGAGAACCCAGAUUUCCUGUUUCCUGACUGCUGCAGAACAUCCAGCUGAAGAAUCCCCGUCGCCUGUCAUCUGAUCACCACACCACCACAGCUCCUUAUAUUUGCUGUAAAUUUUAAAUAUCUGAAAGAUUUACACAAAGUCUAUGUAAAAGCUAAGAGUUUUAUUAUAGCCUGUUGAUUGAUUGUUGAGAUUUAUUCUGCAUAUUACAUUACAGAAGUAUAGACCUAUUUGUUAUCCAGUCUGGUUAAAAAAAAUAUAAGAAGUAAU